rnacentral:rRNA from 1 species
AUUCCAGCACCGAUCUGUAAUGCGAUGGGGGGACGGAGAAGGUUACCUCAGCCGGGUGUUGGACGUCCCGGUUUAAGCGUGUAGACGUGCCUGCCAGGCAAAUCCGGUGGGCUUAGUUGAGGCGUGAUGACGAGAGCUGGCUUGCCAGCUUGAAGUGAGCGAUACCAUGCUUCCAGGAAAAGCCUCUAAGCUUCAGUUACAGAUGGACCGUACCGCAAACCGACACAGGUGGGCGAGCUGAAUAUGCUCAGGCGCUUGAGAGAACUCGGGUGAAGGAACUCGGCAAAUUGACACCGUAACUUCGGGAUAAGGUGUGCCCUCGGUAGGUGAACGCGUACAGCGGGAGCCCAGGAGGGUUGCAAAGAAUCGGUGGCUGCGACUGUUUAACAAAAACACAGCACUCUGCUAACACGAAAGUGGACGUAUAGGGUGUGACGCCUGCCCGGUGCCGGAAGGUUAAAUGAUGGGGUGCAAGCUCUUGAUUGAAACCCCGGUAAACGGCGGCCGUAACUAUAACGGUCCUAAGGUAGCGAAAUUCCUUGUCGGGUAAGUUCCGACCUGCACGAAUGGCGUAACGAUGGCCACGCUGUCUCCACCCGAGACUCAGCGAAGUUGAAGUGUUUGUGAAGAUGCAAUCUCCCCGCGGCAAGACGGAAAGACCCCGUGCACCUUUACUGUAGCUUUGCAUUGGACUGUGAUGAGGUUUGUGUAGGAUAGCUGGGAGGCUUUGAAGUGUGGGCGCUAGCUCGCAUGGAGCCGACGUUGAAAUACCAGCCUGACGUCAUUGCGGUUCUAACCUGGAUCCCUUAUCGGGAUCGGGGACCGUGCAUGGUAGGCAGUUUGACUGGGGCGGUCUCCUCCCAAAGAGUAACGGAGGAGCUCGAAGGUUCGCUUAGCGCGGUCGGACAUCGCGCUGGACGUGCAAGGGCACAAGCGAGCUUGACUGCGAGACUGACAAGUCGAGCAGGUACGAAAGUAGGACCUAGUGAUCCGGUGGUUCUGUAUGGAAGGGCCAUCGCUCAACGGACAAAAGGUACGCCGGGGAUAACAGGCUGAUACCGCCCAAGAGUUCAUAUCGACGGCGGUGUUUGGCACCUCGAUGUCGGCUCAUCACAUCCUGGGGCUGUAGCCGGUCCCAAGGGUAUGGCUGUUCGCCAUUUAAAGUGGUACGUGAGCUGGGUUCAAAACGUCGUGAGACAGUUUGGUCCCUAUCUGCCGUGGGCGUUGGAGAUUUGACGGGGGCUGCUCCUAGUACGAGAGGACCGGAGUGGACGUACCGCUGGUGUACCAGCUGUCUCGCCAGAGGCAUCGCUGGGUAGCUAUGUACGGAAGUGAUAACCGCUGAAAGCAUCUAAGCGGGAAACAUGCCUGAAGAUGAGAUCUCCCGGGAGCUUGACUCCCCUGAAGGGCCGUGGCAGACCACCACGUUGAUAGGUCGGGUGUGGAAGCGCAGUAAUGCGUUAAGCUAACCGAUACUAAUAACCCGUGCGGCUUGACCUC